rnacentral:rRNA from 1 species
AUUGAACGCUGGCGGUAGGCCUAACACAUGCAAGUCGAACGGCAGCACAGUAAGAGCUUGCUCUUACGGGUGGCGAGUGGCGGACGGGUGAUGAAUACAUCGGAAUCUACUUUUUCGUGGGUGAUAACGUAGGGAAACUUACGCUAAUACCGCAUACGACCUACGGGUGAAAGCAGGGGAUCUUCGGACCUUGCGCGAUUGAAUGAGCCGAUGUCGGAUUAGCUAGUUGGCGGGGUAAAGGCCCACCAAGGCGACGAUCCGUAGCUGGUCUGAGAGGAUGAUCAGCCACACUGGAACUGAGACACGGUCCAGACUCCUACGGGAGGCAGCAGUGGGGAAUAUUGGACAAUGGGCGCAAGCCUGAUCCAGCCAUACCGCGUGGGUGAAGAAGGCCUUCGGGUUGUAAAGCCCUUUUGUUGGGAAAGAAAAGCAGCAGGUUAAUACCCCGCUGUUCUGACGGUACCCAAAGAAUAAGCACCGGCUAACUUCGUG